UCCACAGGUGAGAGAGGUGAAGAAGAAGCCAAAGAUCACUGUGGCCGAGCUCCACAGGUGAGAGAGGUGAAGAAGAAGCCAAAGAUCACUGUGGCCGAGCUCCACAGGUGAGAGAGGUGAAGAAGAAGCCAAAGAUCACAGUGGCCGAGCUCCACAGGUGAGAGAGGUGAAGAAGAAGCCAAAGAUCACUGUGGCCGAGCUCCACAGGUGAGAGAGGUGAAGAAGAAGCCAAAGAUCACUGUGGCCGAGCUCCACAGGUGAGAGAGGUGAAGAAGAAGCCAAAGAUCACUGUGGCCGAGCUCCACAGGUGAGAGAGGUGAAGAAGAAGCCAAAGAUCACUGUGGCCGAGCUCCACAGGUGAGAGAGGUGAAGAAAAAGCCAAAGAUCACUGUGGCUGAGCUCCACAGGUGAGAGAGGUGAAGAAGAAGCCAAAGAUCACUGUGGCCGAGCUCCACAGGUGAGAGAGGUGAAGAAGAAGCCAAAGAUCACUGUGGCUGAGCUCCACAGGUGAGAGAGGUGAAGAAGAAGCCAAAGAUCACUGUGGCCGAGCUCCACAGGUGAGAGAGGUGAAGAAGAAGCCAAAGAUCACUGUGGCUGAGCUCCACAGGUGAGAGAGGUGAAGAAGAAGCCAAAGAUCACUGUGGCCGAGCUCCACAGGUGAGAGAGGUGAAGAAGAAGCCAAAGAUCACUGUGGCUGAGCUCCACAGGUGAGAGAGGUGAAGAAGAAGCCAAAGAUCACUGUGGCCGAGCUCCACAGGUGAGAGAGGUGAAGAAGAAGCCAAAGAUCACUGUGGCCGAGCUCCACAGGUGAGAGAGGUGAAGAAGAAGCCAAAGAUCACUGUGGCCGAGCUCCACAGGUGAGAGAGGUGAAGAAGAAGCCAAAGAUCACUGUGGCUGAGCUCCACAGGUGAGAGAGGUGAAGAAGAAGCCAAAGAUCACUGUGGCCGAGCUCCACAGGUGAGAGAGGUGAAGAAGAAGCCAAAGAUCACUGUGGCCGAGCUCCACAGGUGAGAGAGGUGAAGAAGAAGCCAAAGAUCACUGUGGCCGAGUUCCACAGG